CCCAAACAGACAGAGAGAGAGACAGCAGGUAGAGACCCAAACAGACAGAGAGAGACUGACAGCAGGUAGAGAGACCCAAACAGACAGAGAGAGACUGACAGCAGGUAGAGAGACCCAAACAGACAGAGAGAGACUGACAGCAGGUAGAGACCCAAACAGACAGACUGACAGCAGGUAGAGAGACCCAAACAGACAGAGAGACUGACAGCAGGUAGAGAGACCCAAACAGACAGAGAGACUGACAGCAGGUAGAGAGACCCAAACAGACAGACUGACAGCAGGUAGAGAGACCCAAACAGACAGAGAGACUGACAGCAGGUAGAGAGACCCAAACAGACAGACUGACAGCAGGUAGAGAGACCCAAACAGACAGAGAGACUGACAGCAGGUAG
ensembl:lncRNA